rnacentral:rRNA from 1 species
GGUUAAGCGACUAAGCGUACACGGUGGAUGCCCUGGCAGUCAGAGGCGAUGAAGGACGUGCUAAUCUGCGAUAAGCGUCGGUGAGGUGAUAUGAACCGUUAUAACCGGCGAUUUCCGAAUGGGGAAACCCAGUGUGUUUCGACACACUAUCAUUAACUGAAUCCAUAGGUUAAUGAGGCGAACCGGGGGAACUGAAACAUCUAAGUACCCCGAGGAAAAGAAAUCAACCGAGAUUCCCCCAGUAGCGGCGAGCGAACGGGGAGGAGCCCAGAGCCUGAAUCAGUGUGUGUGUUAGUGGAAGCGUCUGGAAAGGCGCGCGAUACAGGGUGACAGCCCCGUACACAAAAAUGCACAUGCUGUGAGCUCGAUGAGUAGGGCGGGACACGUGGUAUCCUGUCUGAAUAUGGGGGGACCAUCCUCCAAGGCUAAAUACUCCUGACUGACCGAUAGUGAACCAGUACCGUGAGGGAAAGGCGAAAAGAACCCCGGCGAGGGGAGUGAAAAAGAACCUGAAACCGUGUACGUACAAGCAGUGGGAGCCUCUUUAUGGGGUGACUGCGUACCUUUUGUAUAAUGGGUCAGCGACUUAUAUUCUGUAGCAAGGUUAACCGAAUAGGGGAGCCGAAGGGAAACCGAGUCUUAACUGGGCGUUAAGUUGCAGGGUAUAGACCCGAAACCCGGUGAUCUAGCCAUGGGCAGGUUGAAGGUUGGGUAACACUAACUGGAGGACCGAACCGACUAAUGUUGAAAAAUUAGCGGAUGACUUGUGGCUGGGGGUGAAAGGCCAAUCAAACCGGGAGAUAGCUGGUUCUCCCCGAAAGCUAUUUAGGUAGCGCCUCGUGAAUUCAUCUCCGGGGGUAGAGCACUGUUUCGGCAAGGGGGUCAUCCCGACUUACCAACCCGAUGCAAACUGCGAAUACCGGAGAAUGUUAUCACGGGAGACACACGGCGGGUGCUAACGUCCGUCGUGAAGAGGGAAACAACCCAGACCGCCAGCUAAGGUCCCAAAGUCAUGGUUAAGUGGGAAACGAUGUGGGAAGGCCCAGACAGCCAGGAUGUUGGCUUAGAAGCAGCCAUCAUUUAAAGAAAGCGUAAUAGCUCACUGGUCGAGUCGGCCUGCGCGGAAGAUGUAACGGGGCUAAACCAUGCACCGAAGCUGCGGCAGCGACGCUUAUGCGUUGUUGGGUAGGGGAGCGUUCUGUAAGCCUGUGAAGGUGUGCUGUGAGGCAUGCUGGAGGUAUCAGAAGUGCGAAUGCUGACAUAAGUAACGAUAAAGCGGGUGAAAAGCCCGCUCGCCGGAAGACCAAGGGUUCCUGUCCAACGUUAAUCGGGGCAGGGUGAGUCGACCCCUAAGGCGAGGCCGAAAGGCGUAGUCGAUGGGAAACAGGUUAAUAUUCCUGUACUUGGUGUUACUGCGAAGGGGGACGGAGAAGGCUAUGUUGGCCGGGCGACGGUUGUCCCGGUUUAAGCGUGUAGGCUGAUUUUCCAGGCAAAUCCGGAAAAUCAAGGCUGAGGCGUGAUGACGAGGCACUACGGUGCUGAAGCGACAAAUGCCCUGCUUCCAGGAAAAGCCUCUAAGCAUCAGGUAACAUCAAAUCGUACCCCAAACCGACACAGGUGGUCAGGUAGAGAAUACCAAGGCGCUUGAGAGAACUCGGGUGAAGGAACUAGGCAAAAUGGUGCCGUAACUUCGGGAGAAGGCACGCUGAUAUGUAGGUGAAGCGACUUGCUCGUGGAGCUGAAAUCAGUCGAAGAUACCAGCUGGCUGCAACUGUUUAUUAAAAACACAGCACUGUGCAAACACGAAAGUGGACGUAUACGGUGUGACGCCUGCCCGGUGCCGGAAGGUUAAUUGAUGGGGUUAGCGGCAACGCGAAGCUCUUGAUCGAAGCCCCGGUAAACGGCGGCCGUAACUAUAACGGUCCUAAGGUAGCGAAAUUCCUUGUCGGGUAAGUUCCGACCUGCACGAAUGGCGUAAUGAUGGCCAGGCUGUCUCCACCCGAGACUCAGUGAAAUUGAACUCGCUGUGAAGAUGCAGUGUACCCGCGGCAAGACGGAAAGACCCCGUGAACCUUUACUAUAGCUUGACACUGAACAUUGAGCCUUGAUGUGUAGGAUAGGUGGGAGGCUUUGAAGUGUGGACGCCAGUCUGCAUGGAGCCGACCUUGAAAUACCACCCUUUAAUGUUUGAUGUUCUAACGUUGGCCCGUAAUCCGGGUUGCGGACAGUGUCUGGUGGGUAGUUUGACUGGGGCGGUCUCCUCCUAAAGAGUAACGGAGGAGCACGAAGGUUGGCUAAUCCUGGUCGGACAUCAGGAGGUUAGUGCAAUGGCAUAAGCCAGCUUGACUGCGAGCGUGACGGCGCGAGCAGGUGCGAAAGCAGGUCAUAGUGAUCCGGUGGUUCUGAAUGGAAGGGCCAUCGCUCAACGGAUAAAAGGUACUCCGGGGAUAACAGGCUGAUACCGCCCAAGAGUUCAUAUCGACGGCGGUGUUUGGCACCUCGAUGUCGGCUCAUCACAUCCUGGGGCUGAAGUAGGUCCCAAGGGUAUGGCUGUUCGCCAUUUAAAGUGGUACGCGAGCUGGGUUUAGAACGUCGUGAGACAGUUCGGUCCCUAUCUGCCGUGGGCGCUGGAGAACUGAGGGGGCUGCUCCUAGUACGAGAGGACCGGAGUGGACGCAUCACUGGUGUUCGGGUUGUCAUGCCAAUGGCACUGCCCGGUAGCUAAAUGCGGAAGAGAUAAGUGCUGAAAGCAUCUAAGCACGAAACUUGCCCCGAGAUGAGUUCUCCCUGACUCCUUGAGAGUCCUGAAGGAACGUUGAAGACGACGACGUUGAUAGGCCGGGUGUGUAAGCGCAGCGAUGCGUUGAGCUAACCGGUACUAAUGAACCGUGAGGCUUAACCUU